rnacentral:lncRNA from 1 species
AUCCUUAUAAAAUUGCGACUUUUAAAGUUAGUAAUUACUUAAUUUUAAUAGUUUUUUUAGUCCUUAUAAAAAAUUCUGCACUCAACAUUAGUCCUUACUCAAUCUAAAUUUGUUUAAUUUAUGUUUAAACUCUUAAUUUUUUUCAACAAUUUUUCGCAAACGUGCUUAUUAAAAGUUCCUCAGCAAAAAAAUAUCGCAAAAAUUUGAUUUCUACAUUUAUAUUUUUGUUACUUUUAUCUUAAACUUUUGUUGUUUAAAAAAAAUAUAUUUAAUUUAUUUCAUGUUAAAAAAUUCUAUAUUUUAGUAUAUGAAUCUUUCAGAGAGUUUUAAACUUGUCUCAAAAAAAUCGUUAAAAAAUUUAUUAAGGACAGUUAAACAAACUUUGUUUUAGCAGGGACUAAAAUUAUAAGUAAUUUUUUUUUAGGGAUUAAAAAAGCUACUAAAAUUAAGUAAGGAUUAAACUUAUAAGUUCUCGAUUUUAUAGGGACCAAAAACAUAUUUAACCCUUUAAAAAAAGUGAUUUUCCUGAACUAAAUAAUUUGUUUGGAUACAUCUAUAUAAACUAGUUUGGUCUUUUGACAUUUAAUUUUCUCUCUCAUAAAAAAAAUCUAUUUUUUGAGAAGCUGUUCUUAACGGCUUCCCAUUUAAAGUUAUUUUUAGAUUCUGAUUUUUUUUAAAAAGCUGUAUCAAAUACAUGCAUUACUCUUAAAAAUGAUUAUUUUAUUUAAUUAAGUGAUUUUUUUCUUAAAAAACUAUAACAAAGGGCUCUUAAAUCUUAAUAAUAUAUAUCAAAUAAUUUUAUUUUGAAGAAACAUAUAUGUAUAGAUUGUGGAAAAGUCACGACUUCAAACAGUAGUUUGCCAUCCAAGACACAAAACCCUACAUGGUAAAUAUUGCUUAAUUUUUUUUCCUUAUGCCUAACUUCUAUUCCUUCAAGAUACUAUAAAUUUUUCUUCUCGUGAGACCCUUGUUCUCAACAAGACUCAUUUGAAAUUCUUUACUCCCUCCGUUCUAAAAUAUAAGCAAAAAUUUUUUAUAUUCUUUGUCUCAAAAUAUAAGCAAAAAAGACCAACUUUUAUGGUAUUAUUAUGUUUUUUUCAAACAAAUAAUCUUUUUCAAUGUAAAAUUAACUACAAAUUGCAUUCAAUGUGUUCUCCUCUUUAUUUUCUCCAUAAUUUUUAACCAAUGAAAAUUAUUUUUACAUAUUUCCAUGAAACUUAUUUCAAGAAGAACAUAAAAAAUUAUACCUCAAAUUACUAAGUGUUAGUUUUUCUUAAUAAAUGUGAAUUAGUGUUUUUUGCUUAUAAAUUAGGACGGAGGAAGUGUCUUCAAGGCUUGAAUUGAAGAACUCCCCCAUUCCAAUCUCCAACCACCUAUCACUUCUCACACAAGGACAUUGCAAUCCUGCUAUAUUGGACAUGCUCCAUCCAGGACCAAGACUUUUGCAAUAUACUUUCCUGGCAUACGAGCUCCUCUCAUGAGGGUUGCUUGUUACUAUUCUGUCGUGCGGCAAAGAUGAGAAUACAAGUGAGAAAAAAACAAAAAUAAAACAAAACAAAUAAAAACUUAAAGGCUAACCUUGAAUCUAAAACGUAGCUUUUGCGAAAUCAUGACAACUCAUCGUAAUUUUGUCAAACUCCCUGCUCAAAUUAAGUGGAGGAAAAAGGUUUCCAUAACUUUUAAAUAUUAAAAUUGAGCUUAUUAUUUUGAACUAAUAUUUAUAAUUUUUUUUUUUAAAAAACUAAUAUUUAUAAUUUAAUUCAUUCAAACAUUAAAAUAAGAACAAUUCUUAUGUUUUGCGGUGAUUUAAAUUCAAGUCCACUUAAGAAACUGCUUCCAUUUAAAUCAAUACUGUUACUCAAGCACGAUCUAUCACAAACUAGUGAGUGCUGGAAGGAGAGCCAAUCCUUCUUCAGUAUACGUUUCAGCUUGCUGUUAAUGAGUAGCAAUAUUGAUUAAAAUCGAACCAAUGCCGUAAAUAUACCAAAAUUUAAAUCACUGGAAUACAUUCAGUCCCCAGCGUUCAGAGUUGAGGGUUCCAAAUCAAUAAAUGGCAGCUAAUUCGUAUUGCAUCACAAAUAUAGCUCGAACAAUCAAGAGUAAAUUGAUAUCCAAAACAGUUAUCCAAUCCCAAUAUAUCAAACUACAAUAAGUAAUAUAAACACAAUUAUCCCAGUAUAUUGAACCAUGACAAAAAUAUAAAUGUAAACAUAGUAGGUUGUCAGUCUUCAAACAUGUUACGCCACCUAAGACGCAAGACCCCUUGCAUAGUUCACGGAAUGUUGCUGAAUGGUCUUACUUAGGCCUAACUUCUAUUCCUUCAAGAAAGAGACCUCUCUUCCAAUUAUUUGUCUCCUUAACAUUCAUUUGGACUUCAUCUUCUAGGCCUGAAUUGAAGAACUCUCCGAUCUCAAUCUCCAACCACCCAUCACUUCUCACACUAGGACGUUGCAAUCCUACUGCUCUGUUAUGCUGCAUACCUUCCACUUCAACAUUUGGAUCCAAACAGACAAUUUUAGUAUUACUGUGGCCACCUUCGACACCAACUGAUAACUCUAUAGGACAGUUCUGAAAUCCUUCGGCAUCAAUCAUCUUGAACACAAGAUAAGCCGCAUACUGGGUAUUUGGGGACAAGGCAAGGGUAUUUAUCAUCCCACGAAUAUCAAGCCACCACACUUCAAGAAGCUCAGCAACUUCAGGGAACCUGUCCAAAAGUAGUUCUGCAAUGAUUAGAAUAUAGGAACUGAGUGAAAAGCUGAAAGUGGUUCAUAGCAUGUCUAUUUUUUUAUUUGUGCAAAUGCAAGUAAUUAGUUGUCAUAAUAGUAUUUUCUCCUUUAACUCUUUCAGCCCAUAACCCAAACAAGUUGACCUACACAGUUAAUAAGUUUAAGUUAUAUAUGUUGUUAUAGGAAAAGGUAUAAUAGUCAAAGUAAUUCACUGGCCACGGCUGCCAAGGACAGGUACUCAACCUCCACAAUGGCACAAAUGAACAUUUAACAGUAGAUAGCUUGGAUUCUACGACAAAAGUAAAUUCCUAAGAAAACAUGGUAUUGGUAAGAUGUAGUGCAAAUGCAGGUCUGUGUCCAGGUAUCUACGCAUGUGGCCUAGUCAGCUUCCGCAUAUUCCUGCAGCUGCAAGUGUAAGGAUGAAGUUCCAAAAAAUAGUAGACCUUAGCCAUAUGUGCCUAUCAAAUAUCUGAGGAGAUUAUAGACUACAAGGCCCAUACACAUGCUGACUCGGUUUGUUGGCAGCAUAACAGAUGCAAAUCUAGAAAUUGUCCAGUAUAAUGGUAUUGUAACAGUCACACUUUAUUUUUUAAGAAGUAAAAACAUUUUGGAGACAAAUAGUCGAAUUGAGAAUACAUUGUCACACUUUAUUUGAAACUGAAUUACGGAAGGAAUGUCAGAAAAUAUGGAAUUCAAUACAACUUGAAUGUAAUGAGCAUGGUUGACAAAGGUAACCAUAAACAUCAUCGGUCUUCAUACUCUUCCUUAACGACCACCUGCUGUCCUGACUAGUUAAGGACUUGGCAAAUAGAAUAAUGGAUUAAGUCUAAAUUUAUAGAAAGGAAUUUGAAAUUUAAUUUGGAACUAAAAACAAAUCAUGCAAAGUCAAUCGAUCAAGUACUUGUGUAGCAAUACCAAGGCUUAAAACAGGAACUGCAUUUUUAGCUGUAAAGUAACAAACAAAUUGGGCAUAGAUUUUAAAAAUGUGGUGAAAUGGUGCAACGAAAAAAUAUAUAGGAUUGUUGGUCGGAGCAACUAGGACCAAAUAAAGAAACUAUGCAGAUGAAGAAAUAACAGGAUUACAGAUGAAGGACUUAUGUGCUUCAAUCUGAACUCGGAUGCAAGAGAUAGCAGAGUGAAGAGUAUGGAUACAUGAUGCUGAUACUUAGGUGAAGUGAAGUGUUAUCGAUGGUGGAUGGCAGACCAUGGUGGAAAGGAAAAAAUCCCCCAUAUUAAGCCGUCAUAAGACACCAUAGUGCAGCCAUCCUUCACAAAUUGUCCAUAGUGGUUGUAAAAAAAAAAAAAAAAACACCAUGGCCGAUAUUAGACGAUAUUGGAAGUGAUAUGGAGGAACAGACUCCAAAUUAUAAGCUACGGGCAACAGAAACUUGUACAAGCACUGGUUUGACAAAAUGUGCUUUAAAUCUGGGUUUGAACCCAAGGAGUAGCUAUGUGAUUUGAUAUACGGCGUGGCUUUGAACACUACAGUAGCACCUUCUGGUCAUUCAUUCUUCACUAACUUGGAUUAGAAUAUUCACCAGGAGGCAGUUGAAAAUAUGAUUGCAAAAGACAAUUGAUUUUUAGAAGAAAAAGACAUGACAUACUCAAUUUUAGAGUAAAUGCUAAUCAGUAAUGACUUGAUUUAGCCAACAAGAAAGAUUCAUCAAUUCCUAGUGCAUCUGGAAAUUCAAAAGGCAAUUUACGGAGAUUGGUGAAGAAAAGAAAGGCAUAAGGCAUCUUCAUGGCUCAAUAAUGAAAAACUCAAGGAAAUGGAAUUAACAAUUCACAGAGAAGGCAGAAAGAACCAAUAGCGUAUCACUGGACACUUAUCCAUUUGCCUCAACUAAAUUUUGUAUUCAUAAAGGCGUAAUAAUAUAACUGUUAAUGAAAAUAUAUUGGGUGGUAAUAGAAAAUAAUAGUAUUAUGAUUAACACAUGACAUGAGAAAAAAUAGAAAACUUAAUAUCUAAGCUAACCUAGAAUUAGGCAUAGAAAUCCAGUUCCAAUAGCGUCGAUCAUCACCCCAAGCAAUGGAGAGAGAUCUAGCAGCAAGCAUAUAACACUUUUUUCCACUCUUCCUAUCCAAUUGAAAGCUCUACAUUCAUUUCAACACAUCCAAAGGCUUAUUAGCAAUCUGAACUAAAAACAUCUUAAAAUAUCAAUAGCUUUUUUCUCGAAAAUAAAUCCAAAUUUCAUAUUUUCUCCCUUUCCCUAUUGUCGGAGAGUACAAGAAGAUACCUUCUGAUCAUUGUCGAUGAUGAUAGGGAGAUCAGAGAGAGCGAGAUACAGAGCUUUUUUGGAUGGUACAUUAGCAAGGGAUGGAGAGUGUGAGAUGAUAGAGUCGAUGAAAUGAGAAUCGGAAGGGAGAAAUUGAUUCCAGACGGCGUCAGAAUCGGCUGCAGAUAGGAAAGUCUUGGAAACAACGGAGAGUCUGCCGGCAUCAGCCGGAGUUGUGCGAGAGAUUAUGGCGGAAAUGCAUCCUUCCGAUAAUUCCUCAAACUCUGUCAUUCUUUUGCUUUUUUUUUACUUCUGAAGAAGAAAACAAGAAUGAGAGGAGUGAAUGAGAGAGGUGGAAAUAGUUGUAGUCGUUGCAGCAAGUGUGUGAACCGAAGGGAAGAAGGUUCAACAAUCAAGUCAAGUCUACUUUAUAGUUUGUUUUUAGUAUUUACAAAUUCAUAUAUUUAAACAUGUUUCCCGCAAUGUUCCAGAAAUCGAAUGUUAAUUAAACUCGGAAUGUAAGUCUUAUUUUUUUUAUUUUUUUAUAGUUUUAUUAACAAUUUUGGGAACUUGUAAAACUUGCCUUUUGGGAACUUAUGAUUUUGUAAGUUUAUUUUGUAUUUUGAUGUUUAGUUGAACAAAUUGUUUUAUUAUGGUGGUUGAGAAAACCUUUAUAAUUUAGUCAUAUUUUGCACUAUUAAACUAUUUACAAUAUUAUAUUAGUAAACUCGUACGAGUUCUCGAGUCGAAUUUAUCUAAACAAAACGAAUUGAAGUAAACUCUCGAGUUGUAAAAUCUUGAUCCCCACGUAUUCUUUUUCUAGACUAAAAUUGUUCAUGUAGAUUUCAAGUUAUUUUUAAGGUAAGUUCCCCAAAAAAGUUAUUUUUUAAGUUAUUUUUCUUUUCUUUUUACCAAAGCAUAAAUUUAAAUCAUAUCAUUGACAAAGUAGUAAUAAUGUUAUAAACUAGUAAAAUUAAGAUAAUUAUAUAAAAAAUAAUUAGGACUAACUAGUAAAAUUUCUAUUAAAUAACUUUUAAUUUUAUAUGCAAAAGAUUGUUUAAUGUUUACACCACCACACCCGUUUCAAACUUUAUGUACUUAUAUCUACGUAAACAAAUAUUUAUAUAUAUAUAUUUGAUAAAAUUUAUAUAAAAUUACCAAUAUUCUAUACCAUUUAUGAACACUUUAUAUAAUUUUCUAUCAUUUAAAACUUUUUGGUUCCUAUAAAAUUACCAAUUUGGUUUUUCAUUUAAAAAUGAUUUUUUGUCCCUAUAAAAUUGAACUUUUGUUUUUCAUUUCUAUAAAAUUAAUGAUCUAUGCAUUUUUAUUGAACAUUUUUAAUGUUGGUAAAUCUCAACAAAAUAUCAAAUGAUUUUAAUUUUGAACAAGUAUAUAUGUCAAAUAUUGAAUGUGGAAAAGUUGAGACUUCAAAUCUUCAAUUUGUCAUCUAAGACACAAGACUGCUUAAUUCUUUUCCUUAGGACUAACUUCUAUUCCUUAAAAGAAAGAAAUUUCUCUUCUUCUCAACACUCUUGUUCACAAUAACACUCAUUUGCACUUCUUCAUCUUCAAGGCUUGGAUUGAAGAACUCCCCCAUUUCAAUCUCCAACCACCCAUCGCUUCUCACAAAUGGUUAGAGAUUUAGCAGCAAUCACAUGCCACUUUUUUCCACUUCUUUUGUCCAAUUGAAAACUCUGCAUUUCAAACUAAUUCAAGACUUAUUGUCAGCAUUCUGAACUAAACAUAUCAAAAAUCACAAUAUAUAUUUUACAUCAAUCAAUUGAGCAUUCGUAUGAAGCUGUAAAAAAUACCACAUUCACCUAUGUUUUGAAAUUAAUGGUUUCACAAUCUUCUUUCUUAAACUGUUGUAGUAGAGUUGAAACUCUGCAAGUAUAAAAAUGGGUUGAAAUCUUAAAGAUAUUAGAUGUCGAUACGAGUUAAGGACAUUUUACAGUGCAUAACCAAUAUCACAUCUUUUUAUUUAUAUACAUUUACAGGGCACAAUAAAAAAUACGAACAAAUGAAACAAAAUUGUUUAUUUAUUUAACUAAUAAAAUUGUAAGGAUGGUUGAAAUAAAUAUGAAUGUGCAUUCCAGACCAGAGGUACUUUUAUCCUUGAUAAAACUGAAUGGUUUAGACGUUUAGUCCAAUUUGUGAGGUACAUGUGAAGAAAUUUUUGGUUUAUUAUUCGUUUUGGAAUGGUUCAUGAGCUUAACAUGGGGUCUAUUGAUUUUGAGUUGAUUGCAAAGAAAGUGUUUGAUAGUUUUUUUUUUUUACGUUACAUAAUUUGGGAUAUUAUUCAACAUUGUAAGACUUUUUUUAGGAAAUUUUAUGAAAACUCUGGUGUUGAGUUUAUGCGGAGACAAACAAACGAGGUUGCUAAAAGUUUAUCUUAGACAUCCACAUUAUGAGCUAAUUUCCUGAUAUUAAUUAAAAUAUCAAAUUGAAUUGAACACACCUUGAUUAAUGAAAUGUUAUAAGUCUGUUUCUCUAAAAACAUUAUAAGGAUACCAAUUUAAUAAAUGGUAUUGCUAAUGAGUGAUCUAAAGAGGACUUUUCUUUUGGUCAAGUAGCCUAGCGGCUAGAGAAAUUUACCUUAAAGGUGAAUAAGUGGAGUGUACGGGGUUCGAACCCUGGUCCCUGCAUAUAAUAUGCAUUAUCCCUUAUUAAGUGAGCUAAGCUCACAUGACUGAUGACUUUUAAGAAUUCCUAAUUAAGAAAAUGUUUAUUGAAUUUCCAAUUUAGCCCUAAUAUUAGAGACCAGGAAAACCAGUUUACUUACUAUUAUGUUGUUAACGAUAACAAGCCCUAAUAUUCGAGAAAUUUGAGGGUUACAAAGAAAAAUAACUUUCGACAUUGUCAAUAAUGAUAGGGGGUCAAAUAGAGCAAGAUAGAGAGCCUUUUCGGUUGGGGCUAUGGCAAGGGAAGGGGACUCUAAGAUGAUAGAGUUGAUAAAAAUAUAAUCAUAACAGAGAAAUUGAUUCUAGACAGUGUCAAAAUCGACGAUAGAGAGGAAAGAAAGUCUUGGAAACAACGGAGAGCAUGCAAGCAUUGACCAAAGUCGUAUAAGAAAGUAUUGCGCCAAUGCAUCCUUUCGAUAAUUCUUUAAAGAGAAAUGAUACUUGUACAACAUUUUAUGACAACUUUUGUAACAACUUUCUCUUUUAUACUUUAUGUUUUUAAUUUAUAUCUCCAUUAUUUUGAUUUUCGCGUCAAUGCUUAAUUUUCUAUGUUUUUACUUUCUCUCUAUUAUUUUGAUUUUCCUGUCAAUACUUAAUUUUCUUUAUAAAUCUAUGGUUUUUUUUUUAUUUUAUAAAUUGUCAUAUAAAAGAUUGUUCAAAUUUCGUUAUUUUCCUUUUUGCCAUUCUUUUUCCUUUUACCUAUGAAAAAUAAAUAACUGCGUAUAAACAGAAAACAUAACAAGAUUUUUUUUUUUCUUUCAAAAGAGAUUUAAAAUUGAAAUUUGGUUUAGUCGUUCGACUAUUUAUACUAGGUUUUUCAGGGUUAAAUAGAAUUUGGAUCUCUAUAAUGAAUAAAGAUAGAAAAUUAUGGCCCAAUGUCCCGAAUAGGAGCUGAGUUAAGAACUUAAGAUAAGAGCUUAAUUUACUGAUUUGUCUCUAUAAAAUAAAAUAUUAAAAUCUAAUAAAAUAUAAAUAUAAAAUAAGAGUUUAAUUCCCUUAAAAAAGAGUUUAAUUCAUAUAAUUGGUAAGUGUAAAGUUACUUUACACCUACAUCCCAUAAUUGUUGUCAUGUUAUUUAGGGUGCAGGGUUAUUUCAAGAAAACAAUAAGAAAAAUUUAUAGAAAAAAUCAUUUUUGUAAUUUUGAAGUGUUUGUUUAGUUUUUUUUUUUUUUAACUCUAAUGAAAAGUAUCAGAGAUUCAGAAUUAGCUUUAGAUUAUUAUCUUUUUCUAUUAUUCUAUUAUUGUUGAAACUUUUGUGAUGAUUUUUUUUUUUGAACAAGCUGAAACUUUUGUGAUGAUAAAGCAGUAAAAAGGAUAAAGUUAUUUUAUUUUAGCUCUUGGCAUUCCAAAUGGGAUGCGCCCAUUAACCGGUAGCCCAAUAUAAUUGUUUCCUACAUCCCCAAAUGAAAUCAAACGCGGAAUCAAACCAAACAAAACAAAACAAACCAAACACGUAAACAAACUGAAUCAUCAUCUUUGUUCAUCAUCAUCACCAUCGGAAUCUUCAAUCUCAUCAUCAACACCGUCGUUCAUCAUCAUCACCGUGAUUCCCCAUCAUCAUCACCGUACCGAAAUCAUCAUCAUCAUCACCACCGUCAUUCAUCAUCAUCACCGUCAAUCAAAAUUGUAUAUGUUAGUUGAAAAUGGUUUCAGAGUGUUAAUUUGGUUCAAUGACAGUCACAAAUGUCUUUAUUAUAGUAUGUUUUGUAUAAAAUUAUGCCAAAACCAUCUUGUUGUGGAAAUGGUUUCUGUGAGUUGUACUCCAAAAUCAUUAGAUGUACUUAAUGGUUUCCAACAGGUGAAAAAAACUAAGAAUCUAGAGCCAUUGCCAUCAUUCAGUUUUGGACUGACACAAUUGGAGGAGGAGGAAAGAAAUGGUUUCUGUGAGUUGUAGUCCAAAACCAUUUUGCUGUGGAAAUGGUUUUUGUGAGUUGUACUCCAAAACCACCAAAAUCUCCAUCGGCGGUGUCUUCUUCUUGAAUAGUAAAUUCAUUUUCCAACAAUUCAUUUUUAGAGUUUUCACUACAAAGCCACCAAAAUCACUAAGCUCAAACACUGUUUCGAUCCAUCAAGAAACGAACUGAUCAAAGAGAAGGAGGUAGAAAGUUUUUCUGUUCAUAUCUUAAUCCUUAGAUUUACGCUUGUUUACUGUUUGUCUUUGAAAAACAAUUUCGAAAAUGAGAAGUAGGAAGAAAAGGAUUGAUGAAUAUAUAAUUUGUUUUUGAAACGACGGGGUUUUGAGUUUCGAUGCGGUGGUGCCACCACAGGCCACCGCGCCGGAAAAGCAAUUCUCGCCCAGAGAAGAAGAUAUAAGGUGGCGCUGGUUUGAAUGUCCUAAAUAGAGAAGUGAGCAAAGUAUUUUUAGAGAGGUUUUUUUUUUUUUUUUUUUUUUUGUCAAAAUGAAGAUAUACCUCUUUCCUUUAUUUCUUGAUUUUGUGUAGUUUGAAAAGUCUAGGAUUAUUACACGUGUACACUAGAUCUGAUGGCUGUGAAGUGUUUAUGCAGGGUGCAUAAGGAAAUGUCUUAUGCAUAAUAACUUUUGCCUUCCAAAUGCUAAUGGUAGUGAACAUGUCCUUUGGCUGUUGUUUCUAUCCUAUGACAUUCUCAUGUGUCUUAAUGUUUUUGGGGAUUUUCAGAAUUUGGAGAGUGUUUACCAUGUUUUUGGGUAGAAAAUGUGUUUAUCACCUAUUCGGAUUAUACAAUCCAAAUACCUCAUUAUAGCAGUGCGCAUUUUUUUAUUUAUUAUAAAAUCCGAACACUCCAUACCAUCCUUAUUGUGCCAAAAAUUCAGAAAAAAUUGGUUCGGAUUAUAUAAUCCGAAUUGUAUUAGCACAAAGAUUGAGUCUAUUUAAGACAUAGAUAGUCAAUUUAAGAACUGUACUAACCAUCAUAACCCUCCUCCUUGUGUUUCAGGUCAUUGUUAGUUGUUCUUGUCAAGUCCAAUAGAAAAUCAUAAGGGGUACAAAGUAAUACAAUAUAAUCAUCUUCACCAAUAUCGAAUAAUUUAUAUUACAGAAGAAGUUUUUAUUAUCUUCGUCAACAUGUCCAGAGCACAAAAGAUGUUUUUAUUAUCUUCGUCAACAUGUACAAAAACACAUAAACUUGAACGAUAAUACGGCUAUCUAUAAGGGGACGCUUUUACUACUAGGGUAUUUUUUGACAUUUUACAUGUAAGGUCUAUGUAGUGUAUGUUUGGUUUUAAAUUUGGAGGGUCAAAAUUGAUUCUAUAGGUUGAAGAAUUGAUUUUAUCAUGUUUGAAUGAUUUGAAGGAGAAUUGAUUCAACUUAAAGUUAAAAAUUGUAGCUUUUGCCUUCUAUAAUUGGUAUCACUAUGAAUUUGCAGAAAUCACACUCACAUCAUGAUUUUGUAGAAACUCAAAAAUGUCCUCAUGAGUUUAACUUAUUGGUAUGGACAAUGUAUAACAUAUGCAAGGUCCGAAUUCGAAUCUCGGUCACCACAAAAAAAAAAAAAAAAACUAAAAAAUGUAACUUUUGUAAAAUCACGAUAGCUCAUCGUAUUUUUGUCAAACUCACUGCUAAAACCAUAAACAUAAUUUGCUUCUAUUUUAAUCAAUCCAUAAAAAAUAUGGAGAAAAAAAAGAAAAAAGAAGAGGUGCAGUCUCCAUGACUUUUAAUUAUUUAAAUUGAGUCAUUUUAUUAUUCUGAACUUGGGUUUAUAAUUUAAUUCAUUCAUACUAUUAAAAAAACAAUUCUUAUAUUUUGCAGUGGUUUAAAUUGCAGUCCACUUAAGACAUUGCUUCCACUUAAAUCAAUAUUGUUACUCAAGCACAGUGUCCAUCACAGACCAGUAGUGAGUACUGGAAGGAGAGUCAAUCCUUCUUCAUAAUACGUUUCAGCUUACUAUUCAUGAGUAAUAAACUAAUAAUAUUGAUUAAAAUAGAACCAAUGCCUUAAACAGACCAGAAUUUAAAUCACUGGAAUAAAUUCAGUCCCCAACGAUCAUAGUUGAGGGUUCCAAAUCAAUAAUUUGCAGCAAAUUCAUAUUGCAUCAAAGUAUAUUAUAUAGUUCAAACAAUCAAUAGUAAUAAGUGAUAUAAACACAACUAUCCCAAUAUAUUGAACCAUGACAUGUAAAUAAAAGUUGUACAUACAUAUGCUUUACAAAGAAACAGUUUGGAAGAAACAUAUAUGUAACAUAGUAUUUUGACAAUCUUCAAACCACCACUAGAUGCAAGACCCCUUUCAUAGUUCAUGGAAUGUUACUUAAUUGUCUUACUUAGGCCUGACUUCUAUUCCUUCAAGA